rnacentral:rRNA from 1 species
UGCAGGGUAUAGACCCGAAACCCGGUGAUCUAGCCAUGGGCAGGUUGAAGGUUGGGUAACACUAACUGGAGGACCGAACCGACUAAUGUUGAAAAAUUAGCGGAUGACCUGUGGCUGGGGGUGAAAGGCCAAUCAAACCGGGAGAUAGCUGGUUCUCCCCGAAAGCUAUUUAGGUAGCGCCUCGUGAAUUCAUCUCCGGGGGUAGAGCACUGUUUCGGCUAGGGGGCCAUCCCGGCUUACCAACCCGAUGCAAACUGCGAAUACCGGAGAAUGUUAUCACGGGAGACACACGGCGGGUGCUAACGUCCGUCGUGAAGAGGGAAACAACCCAGACCGCCAGCUAAGGUCCCAAAGUCAUGGUUAAGUGGGAAACGAUGUGGGAAGGCCCAGACAGCCAGGAUGUUGGCUUAGAAGCAGCCAUCAUUUAAAGAAAGCGUAAUAGCUCACUGGUCGAGUCGGCCUGCGCGGAAGAUGUAACGGGGCUAAACCAUGCACCGAAGCUGCGGCAGCGACGCUGAUGCGUUGUUGGGUAGGGGAGCGUUCUGUAAGCCUGCGAAGGUGGCCUGUGAGGGUUGCUGGAGGUAUCAGAAGUGCGAAUGCUGACAUAAGUAACGAUAAAGCGGGUGAAAAGCCCGCUCGCCGGAAGACCAAGGGUUCCUGUCCAACGUUAAUCGGGGCAGGGUGAGUCGACCCCUAAGGCGAGGCCGAAAGGCGUAGUCGAUGGGAAACGGGUUAAUAUUCCCGUACUUGGUGUUACUGCGAAGGGGGGACGGAGAAGGCUAUGUUGGCCGGGCGACGGUU